GACGAACGCUGGCGGCGUGCUUAACACAUGCAAGUCGAACGGAAAGGCCCUGCUUUUGUGGGGUGCUCGAGUGGCGAACGGGUGAGUAACACGUGAGUAACCUGCCCUUGACUUUGGGAUAACUCCAGGAAACUGGGGCUAAUACCGGAUAGGAGCUCAUGCUGCAUGGUGGGGGUUGGAAAGUUUCGGCGGUUGGGGAUGGACUCGCGGCUUAUCAGCUUGUUGGUGGGGUAGUGGCUUACCAAGGCUGUGACGGGUAGCCGGCCUGAGCGGGUGACCGGCCACAAUGGGACUGAGAUACGGCCCAGACUCCUACGGGAGGCAGCAGUGGGGAAUAUUGCACAAUGGGCGGAAGCCUGAUGCAGCAACGCCGCGUGCGGGAUGACGGCCUUCGAGUUGUAAACCGCUUUCGCCUGUGACGAAGCGUGAGUGACGGUAAUGGGUAAAGAAGCACCGGCUAACUACGUG
rnacentral:rRNA from 1 species